AGUCCUAAAAGCUAAUUGGCUAGCCCUUAA
rnacentral:tRNA from 1 species